rnacentral:ncRNA from 2 species
UUAACGGGUCGCAACUGGCGUGAGGUGGACAACCACCAGGGAGCGGCAAUCACGAAGACCACGGAUCGUACGCCUGGGCCGAGGGU